AAAUGUUAAUUUAGUUUACCUGGGUAAUAUUAGUUAAGGUCUUUAAACCCAAAGAAUUUGGCGGUAUCUCAAUCCAUUCAGAGGAACCUACCCCAUGAUUGAUAGUACACGAUUAACUUUACUUAAUUUAAUUGUUUGUAUAUCUCCGUUACCAGAAAAUCUUUUUAGAGGUUUAAUUUUCUUUAUCUAAAAUUAUAAAAUAUUUCAGGUCAAGGUGCAGCUUAUAAUUAAGUGGUGUUGGGUUACAAUAAAUUUUUGUUUACUAUGGAUUUAAUAAUGAAACAUUAUUAAUAAAGGUGGAUUUGAUAGUAAUUUAUUUUAUUUGAUUUAUUUGAUAUUGGCUCUGAGAU
rnacentral:rRNA from 1 species